rnacentral:rRNA from 1 species
GAUGAACGCUGGCGGCGUGCUUAACACAUGCAAGUCGAACGGAACCAAGGGAGCUCGCUCCCUGAAGUUUAGUGGCGGACGGGUGAGUAACGCGUGAGCAAUCUGCCCUUAAGUGGGGGACAACACCGGGAAACUGGUGCUAAUACCGCAUAAUGUAUCAGAACUGCAUGGUUUUGAUACCAAAGGAGAAAUCCGCUUUUGGAUGAGCUCGCGUCUGAUUAGCUAGUUGGUGAGGUAAUGGCCCACCAAGGCGACGAUCAGUAGCCGGACUGAGAGGUUGAACGGCCACAUUGGGACUGAGAUACGGCCCAGACUCCUACGGGAGGCAGCAGUGGGGAAUAUUGCACAAUGGGGGGAAACCCUGAUGCAGCAACGCCGCGUGAAGGAAGAAGGUCUUCGGAUUGUAAACUUCUUUUCUUUAAGGACGAUAAUGACGGUACUUAAGGAAUAAGCCA